UGGCUCAGAGGUUAAGAGCACUGGCUGCUCUGCCAGAGGACCUGGGUUCCAUUCCCAG
rnacentral:tRNA from 1 species